GGGGGUGAACGGUUUCGACUCUGGACGUUGAUUCAGGGGAAGCGUGCAGGUGCAGGCGGAUGGCCACCUAAAGCGUCGCCGCAAACCAAUAUGCGCCAAGGUUAAUUCCAAGGCCGACGUCGCACUCGCCGCCUGAGCGAGUAGUUGACGUCUGUCGGCCCGGGGUCGCCUCCGACCCGGUUUGCCGGCAUCAGCUAGGAGGCUCACCGUCGCGGGUUGGCCGCGGACCCGCGGUGGGACAUCUACAGCGGCUGGGCUCGUCACAUCGGCUUGUUCACGUGACCGAUGGGGCCGAGUAGAGGCACAGUGAACUGCGCACGGAGAAGCCCUGUCGAGACGACAGAGGACCCGGGUUCGAUUCCCGGCACCUCCACGA
rnacentral:tmRNA from 1 species